AAGGGGUGACUAACAUUCAAAGAAAGAAAGAAAGAAAGAAAGAAAGAAGGAAAGAAAGAAGGAAAGAAGGAAAGAAAGAAAGAAAGAAAGAAGGAAAGAAAGAAAGAAAGAAAGAAAGAAAGAAAGAAAGAAAGAAAGAAAGAAAGAAAGAAAGAAAGAAAGAAAGAAAGAAAGAAAGAAAGAAAGAAAGAAAGAAAGAAAGAAAGAAAGAAAGAAAGAAAGAAAGAAAGAAAGAAAGAAAGAAGGAAAGAAAGAAGGAAGGAAAGAAAGAAAGAAGGAAAGAAAGAAAGAAAGAAAGAAAGAAAGAAAGAAAGAAAGAAAGAAAGAAAGAAAGAAAGAAAGAAAGAAAGAAAGAAAGAAAGAAAGAAAGAAAGAAAGAAAGAAAGAAAGAAAGAAAGAAAGAAAGAAAGAAAGAAAGGAAGGAAGGAAGGAAGGAAGGAAGAAGGAAGGAAGGAAGGAAGGAAGGAAGGAAGGAAGGAAGGAAGGAAGGAAGGAAGGAAGGAAGGAAGGAAGGAAGGAAGGAAGGAAGGAAGGAAGGAAGGAAGGAAGGAAGGAAGGAAGGAAGAAAGAAAGAAAGAAAGAAAGAAAGAAAGAAAGAGAGAGAGAGAGAGA
rnacentral:lncRNA from 1 species